CCUCUGGUAGCUCAGUUGGGAAAAGCACUUGACCGGCAAUCAAGAGGGGCGCGGGUUCGAAUCCUGCCCGGAGAU